rnacentral:rRNA from 1 species
UACGAGAGACCCGAACGUUAUUCGGAAUUACUGGGCUUACAGAGUUCGUAGGCGGCUCAGCAAGUUGGGUGUGAAAUCCCUCGGCUCAACCGAGGAAUUGCGCUCAAAACUACUGAGCUUGAGGGGUAUAGAGGUAAGCGGAACUGAUGGUGGAGCGGUGAAAUGCGUUGAUAUCAGCAGGAACACCGGUGGCGAAGGCGGCUUACUGGGUACCUCCUGACGCUGAGGAACGAAAGCUAGGGGAGCGAACGGG